rnacentral:tRNA from 1 species
GUUCGCCUAGCUCAACUGGAUCAGAGCAGCGUUUUUCUAAAAUGCGGGUUGCAGGUUCGAGUCCUGCGGCGAACGCCA